rnacentral:lncRNA from 10 species
CUCAUAUUCUAUGAAACAAUAAAUUUUCAUAUUUGUCUAAGCUAGCUGAUUUAGCAUUCUCUCACAGCUGGAAGAGAUCUGUUUAAUUUAGUUUUCUCCACAUUUCAACUUUUUCUCCACCUCCAAAAGCAUAAUAGAUACAAAGCUUAAAUCUAUUUUUUUCUCUUUUUCAGAAGGUUUCCAAUAAUCUUAGUGAUGAGAAGGGGAGAGAAUGACAACCGUCGUGAAUGCAGAAGGUCAGUGGGACAGCACUGCUCACUAUCACGCAAACUUGAAGACUUGGGAAUCCGUCCAAGAGUAUCCUAUGUUGUUUGUAGAGUGUACUGAAUCUUGGCUUCUGGUUGAAAUUAGACGAGCACCUCUUGUGGAAAACCUGCAACCUCAGCAUUACGAGCUAUCUCUAGGAAAUGACUGUCCUGUAACCAGAGUGACGAAUGAUAUCUUUGAGUUCCGUUACGCUCUUGAUUUUUGUGGCAUCAUGAAAUACCAACGCCCAUGGGGCAUUCUUAUUGAGAGUUUCGUCAGAUAUCAAC